CCUACGGGUGGCAGCAGUGGGGAAUAUUGGACAAUGGGGGGAACCCUGAUCCAGCCAUGCCGCGUGUGUGAAGAAGGCCCUCGGGUUGUAAAGCACUUUCAGUGAGGAAGAACGCCUGGUGGUUAAUACCCAUCAGGAAAGACAUCACUCACAGAAGAAGCACCGGCUAACUCCGUGCCAGCAGCCGCGGUAAUACGGAGGGUGCGAGCGUUAAUCGGAAUUACUGGGCGUAAAGCGCGCGUAGGUGGCUUGAUAAGCCGGUUGUGAAAGCCCCGGGCUCAACCUGGGAACGGCAUCCGGAACUGUCAAGCUAGAGUGCAGGAGAGGAAGGUAGAAUUCCCGGGGGAGCGGUGAAAUGCGUAGAGAUCGGGAGGAAUACCAGUGGCGAAGGCGGCCUUCUGGACUGACACUGACACUGAGGUGCGAAAGCGUGGGUAGCAAACAGGAUUAGAACCCCUGUAGUC
rnacentral:rRNA from 1 species